rnacentral:lncRNA from 1 species
CUACGAUAGAAGAGGGGCAUUAUGUUUUCUGGUCUGUGUCUCCGUUCGUCCGUCCGUCUGUGCGUCCGUUCGCUUCAGGUUAAAGUUUUUGGUCAAGGUAUUUUUUGAAGAAGUUGAAGUCUAAUCAACUUGAAACUUAGUACACAUGUUCCCUAUGAUAUGAUCUUUCUAAUUUUAAUUCCAAAUUAAAGUUUUGACCCCAA